AACAUGCCUGGGGUGCAGAAGAGAACAAGAAAGACUAUUUAGCGAAGUAGGCUAAUAGUGGUGUGGAGGAAGGGGGUUGAUUUUCACAUCUGAGAACUGUUGAGCCUGCAAAUAUUACUGAAAUCACAUCUGGGAACAAAGCUCUGCUUUAAGUAAGUUCACCCAUGAGUGUUGCUAAGCAAUGGAGAAAAGAAGAGUGACAGGGAGAGUGCCUGACUUUAGGAUUAGGAGGAUAGAGAGAAGAUAAAAAAGUAAGAUUUCUACACAGCCUUAUUUAUAUGAACUUUCAAGUUCUUUGUUUCUAUUGCUUGUCUUCAAAACUAUUUGUACCAUGAUUAAUCUUAUCUGGUUCAGUAUCUAUACCAAUGCACACGCAGCACAGAGAGGUGCUGCAUCCUGGAGCACUGGCACAAGCACUUGGGCACCAGAACUGUCAACAUCUGUCUCUGGAUUAAACAGCAAGGAAGGAGAGAAGAAAUCUUCCCUAUCAGCUGCAGCAGGGGUUGCUGCAGGAAGAUGAUAAUUCCCUCCUGCUACUCCGCUGACAACCACCGAGCUGCACAGGAGGAGGAAGGCAUUUUAAUCAUGGAAUUGAAAAACACAGCAGUUUCUAAAGCUUCACCUCACCUUGGUUGAUUUACAUUAAUUUAGGAUCAACUGGCUUUCGGUGGAAUUAUGUUAUAUAUGGAAGAUAACAGAAGGAAAAAUUUGGCGUCAUUUCUAGUUUGGCUGUCCAUUAGAGAACGUGUGCCUAUGUAUAUAAACAGUUUUGGAGAAUCUCAGAUAAGCAUAAUGAAUCCCUUAAAAGCACAGUUCAAACUUGAGGGCUCCCUAAUUCCAUAGUAAGUGUCUUAUAAAUGCCAGACUUCAAAAAAAAACAAAACCUUAACAAUUAGCAAGUCAGGGUCCAAUCCAGUGUCCACUGAAGCCAUCAGAAAACCUGUGACAAAGGCCCAGAAGAUUUGACUCUGGCUCUUUCAUCAGAUUAUCAUUAUAACAAAGGCACCCCAUAAGGGGCUGCUAGAGAAAUGCAAAUCUUGUGUCAAAGACAGUCAGACACCCCCAAAAUUAAAAAUUUGAGCACACAGCAGCUUACAUGCAGCAGCUUUGGGCAUGUGGCACAACAUCUGCUACAAAAACACUAGAAAGCAGACCUGCAGCAAACUGGACCACUGCCAGCUCUCAAGAUUAUUCUUUUUUCCCCCCUGACAAGGCUGUCAAGUAAAUGGACAGAUGGCAGCCGAUGCACUCACUGGAUAGUUAGCUCAGUUAACAAUCAAGUAUGCUAGAUGAUUUCAGAUUCACUCUGCAGCAAGCAUUGUAUUUUCUAUUGAACCAUUAACACUGUGUCCUAAUAGGAAUAUAGUUUGGUAUUAAGAAACUGGCAGAUUUUGUAUUUUACAAGACAGUUUCUCUGGAACAAUUUGUCAGGGAACAUUAGAUCUGCCGUCAUGAAUAAAGUGAGAAUCUGCCAAGUUUACCAGGCUGGUUUGUUCAUAAUUUUAACUCGACAGUGUUUGAAGAACGAGGAUGGAAACAAACGCUAAGAUGCAGGUCAGCUAUCCACACAAGCUGCUCCCAGGGAUGCAGUCAGCUAAAAGCAGGGUAGAUGUUAAGAGCACACAGGAUAUUGCAGCUGUACUGCCUUGCCCUGCAGUAGGACAUGGCACUGAGCCCUUCUGGACAGGACAGCUCUCACCACCAGCCUGCUGGGUGACACACUUAUCAUCUCAGUGCACAGAUGUGAGGAUUCAUCCCAGAAAAACUAAUAGUUCUUGGGUUAAAAUGGGUGCAAUCUGUAAACAAAGAUUUGGCCCUCAUACCCCAAGGGGGCAAAUAACUCAGUACUGAGCACUAGCACACAGCAUACAGGUGGACUUUUGGCCCCAGCAUUACAAAACACAUCUUUUAAUUCUUCCUCUUUAUGACUAUGUCUUUAACAACAUGACUCUAGACUAGGUGACAAUGUUACUCAAUUGGUUUUCUUUUCCACAAAUUAGCAGGGCAAGAAUAAUCUUUGAAAAAAGUGAAAUAUGUUGUUCUACCUUUUAAUUCUCCUCCCUUCACCUUUUGUUCCUGUUGCAUAUCCAUUUUAUCCAUCCACCAAAAGUCCCAUACCACUAAGCACAUGGUCAAAGGGAUAAUUAAAUAUAAUAGAAGCUAUUCAUCCCAUAUUUAGCUCCCACAACCAUUUUAUUCAUCAAUGUUGCACCUACUAAGUACCCCGAGAAAAUAGACACCACACCUUUUCUGCCCGCAUUAUAGAAAUCCUUUAGCAGAAAAAGGGUUGAGGGGAGAACCCAAAAAAAAUAAGCAGAAGAGUAGGACAAGGAAGAGAGCUCUCUCAAAGGAAGCAGGAGUUGUGGCAUGGAUACAGGUGAAGCCAGCACCUCAUAUUUCUUAUCUGUUGGCUCAGUUGCAAAAAGUAGGACUGAAGCAAACUGAAAAAUGCAAAGCAUGUCUAGUGGGCAAUCAACAAACUAUGGUUUACACAGUCAGGUGUCAACUGCAGAGCAGCAGGUUCUGACUGGUGCUGUGAAAGUCUUGCACUUUGGACCCACACCCUGAGCUCUCCAAAAGCACAGACCUUAUCCUACUCCAAGUGCUGAACCAAGAGAAGCUGCAUUGCGUGUUACAACGAUCUGGAAAACUCCCACCGCCUGCCUGUGGUCAGUCUGUGGACAUCACACAGACCUGCCGUGGACAUCACACAGACCUGCCAUGGACAUCACACAGACCUGCCAUGGACAUCACACAGACCUGCCAUGGACAUCACACAGACCUGCCAUGGACAUCACACAGACCUGCCGUGGACAUCACACAGACCUGCCGUGGACAUCACACAGACCUGCCCUUCACUUUGCCUUUCUGCUAUGACACUGGUUCUUCAGAGAUGUUUACAGAGUAUCACUACAGUUAUACCAGGAAAAUCAGCAACAGCAGCCAAGAACUUAUAUGCCCUGCUCUUCCAAUUCAGACAUGGAAAAGCAUCACAGAAAUUUCAGGAGAACAGGAUCAAGAACUCUGCCAUCACACUGAGCUCCUUAGCAGCCCACUCUCUGCAGCUUUCCUCUCUCUUGAGAAGGAGACAGUGUUGUGACUACCAGUGUGAAAUCACCACAGCAGGGAAGUCAGAGAUGCAACUGAAAAAAAUAAAGUGCAAACCAGUCAAAAAUGGAGACAGAAGCAACCUCAUCUUCUGGCUCAACUUUAUGAAAAUCUGAUUAGACCUUAGCAAAAUUUAAUCUUUGCCUUCCAGACCUUCUGAGACAACAAUAAAGAUCUUCUGAGGUCAUAAAGUAUCAAGAGAGGAGAGACACCACUCCACUAUAGGAAAAUAGCUGAGGAAAAUUGUUUUUCUUGGCACUAUUCGCCUGGUAAAUCUGCAAAAAAUGUUAUUAAAAAUUGAAUGAUAAAAAGCUACACAUCACUAUUUUUAAAAUACAAAAAUACACUUUAUCAGAUAGAAAGUAAUAAAAUAACAUGAAAAAGACAAGACAAAUUAGUUACAGCAAUAAUUAGGAAUGCCAGACAUUUAGAAGAGAGUAUCUGUUUAAAUUGCUAAGACAGCCAAGAGACAGAAAAAUGGACUCCCAGCAGUCCUGCAGUGGUAACAUUUCUUUUUCCUUUUUGUUCCUAUCAUAGAUCUACAGCAAAAACAAAAUCUGCCAGAUACAUUUUUCUAUUAUCAACCCUUCCCCAGAACAAUUUUGCUUCAAAACCACUCAUUAGGCUGGAAUUGGCAAAACCCAAGUCCCAGUCUUUUUCUCAGCCACAGAGGCCACAUUUCCUUCUUCUUCCCUGUCUCCUUGUGGUAGCUGUUCCUACACUGCCUCACGGGAAAAAAAGAAAAGGGAAUUUUUUGACUUUCCUCAAAACCUUUUUGCUUUCACAGACAGCUAACACAUGGUGCCGUUAGCCCCAAAGAGGCUACACUGAAUGCUGCUGCCUGGAUGUCCUUCAGCCAUUUGCAGAUCAACAGAAAGCUUUCACUGGGGGAAGGGCUGUUGGUCGGGUGUCAUUCCCAUCUGUCAGCUCAGCAGCAGCAACGGUACCAAACGAAGUCUUUCUGCUCAUUCAGCAUCUGUGGUUUAAUAUUUGCCAAGGGUUUGAUCUUGGCCUCUUGGUUUGUGCCUACAGUACCCAGGAUUCCCAGGUGGUCUCCCAGCCAAACAUUAGCCUACUUUAGGACUGCUGAGCCUGCAGAAUCAAUCUGCCAUAAGCCAUGUUUUGUUGACACAGUGUAUACUAACAAACCCUACACACUGAUGGUUUCUUAGACUCUUCCAAUUCUCUGCUUACAGUCCAGUAAGAUCAGGUUUUGCAGUUUUUGGGAAAGAAAGCAAGCAAUUCUUAUCAAAAUACAGCAAUCUGGGAAAUUAAAAAAGGAAAAACAAAUAUGAACAGGUGGAAAAAUUGUAUUUGUUUCCUCUACUUAUCUAAUAUAUCAGCUCAUGAGACCAACUCAUCUUCACCCUAUAUCAUGCCAGACAAAGUGGCAUCUAUUUUUUAUAUCCAGAAAGUUUAAUAAAAAAAAAUAUAAUUUUAGGGCCAAUCCAAUGGAUGUGCAGAUCUAAAGUAACUGAAGACGAUGUACACAAAUUAAGUAAAGUUAAAAACUAGAGAAUGGUCAUAUAUAUCAUCUAGGAGUUCAACUUCAUUUUUUACAUGCAUUGUUCCCCCCAUAUGCUUAUUAUUGCCUAUAGAAUCCUUCACUUAGUAAUUCCACAAUUCAUACAGUCAUGCAACAAAAACAUGGUUAUGUUGCAGAUGGUUAUACAGCAGAAUUUCUGUAGAAUAAAGUUAACUGAUUAAAAUCCUAUUUUAAUCAUGCAACUAAAAAAAUCCACAGUAAUAUUGUAAAAUGCAUCUAUGCAGAAAGCUAGAAAACUGGAAUGAAUAUGGUAGUUUGAUCUCUUACAGUACAGAUGUACAAUAAUUCUCAAUCUGUUCUUGCCUGGGCAGGUAAGGGGCUGUGUACUAUUCAAGAUUAAUUAGAAAAAACACGUGUUCCUCAUGAAUGAUGUCAUGUCUAGUAAUAUACAUAAAUUAAUUCAUGUCAGCGUUGGCCAUGUUGUGUCAUGAUUAUUUCUUUUAGGUAAAGGAUGUUUUUUUAAAAAUUAUUUUUUGCUACAGAUUGCCUAUGAACUUUACAAUCUUUGUAGAGAGAUUUUAUAAAAAUAAAAGUACCAGACAAGAACAA